rnacentral:rRNA from 1 species
CCUACGGGUGGCAGCAGUGAGGAAUAUUGGUCAAUGGGCGCGCGCCUGAACCAGCCCAGUCGCGUGAGGGAAGACGGUCCUAUGGAUUGUAAACCUCUUUUGUCGGGGAGCAAAAGACGCCACGCGUGGCGUUCCGAGAGUACCCGAAGAAAAAGCAUCGGCUAACUCCGUUCCCUCAGCCGCGGUCAUACGGAGGAUGCGAGCGUUAUCCGGAUUUAUUGGGUUUAAAGGGUGCGAAGGCGGAAGAUCAAGUCAGCGGUAAAAUUGAGAGGCUCAACCUCUUCGAGCCGUUGAAACUGGUUGUCUUGAGUGAGCGAGAAGUAUGCGGAAGGCGUGGUGGAGCGGUGAAAUGCAUAGAUAUCACGCAGAACUCCGAUUGCGAAGGCAGCAUACCGGCGCUCAACUGACGCUCAUGCACGAAAGUGUGGGUAUCGAACAGGAUUAGAUACCCCGGUAGUC